AAUCGUUUCAACUUGUUACUGACAUUUUAACUAUGAAUUUUCUCAAGAAUUUCUAUUUUGUCUUGCUCAUUUUAGCCAUAUCUAUGGUUACUAUUGAUGCUGCCAAUCCGCCGAAAGAAAAAAAAGUCAGGUUUGCUGAAGGAAAGGGGGUCAUUAUUAAUAAACUUAAUAAUACGAAGGGUUAAGAUAAAUCUAAAUUGAUGAUUGAUUGAAAUCCUAAUUUCUUGUGUGUAUUAUAUGUUUAAAGUUGAAUAAAAUAUAUCAAAUUUGUGC